rnacentral:rRNA from 1 species
GUGCCAGCCGCCGCGGUAAGACGAACCGUGCGAACGUUGUUCGGAAUCACUGGGCUUAAAGGGCGCGUAGGCGGACCAUCAAGUCGGGGGUGAAAUCUUUCAGCCCAACUGGAAAAGGGCUUCCGAUACUGGUGGUCUCGAGGGAGGUAGGGGUCGAGGGAACUGGUGGUGGAGCGGUGAAAUGCGUAGAUAUCACUAGGAACGCCGGUGGCGAAAGCGCUCGACUGGACCUCUUCUGACGCUGAGGCACGAAAGCCAGGGGAGCGAACGGGAUUAGAUACCCCAGUAGUCC